rnacentral:rRNA from 1 species
GCCAGCUGCGAUAGCACGUUGACUGAACCAGUCUCCAAUAGAUCACUGAAGUUAAGCAACGUUGCUCGUGGUUGGUAUCCGAAGCAGUGACCAUCUGAACAUUGCGUGUUGCUCCCA